rnacentral:rRNA from 1 species
CAGUCGCCGCGGUAAUACGUAGGUCCCGAGCGUUGUCCGGAUUUAUUGGGCGUAAAGCGAGCGCAGGCGGUUAGAUAAGUCUGAAGUUAAAGGCUGUGGCUUAACCAUAGUACGCUUCGGAAACUGUUUAACUUGAGUGCAAGAGGGGAGAGUGGAAUUCCAUGUGUAGCGGUGAAAUGCGUAGAUAUAUGGAGGAACACCGGUGGCGAAAGCGGCUCUCUGGCUUGUAACUGACGCUGAGGCUCGAAAGCGUGGGGAGCAAACAGGAUUAGAUACCCCCGUAGUCCCUGUCUCUUAUACC